AGCAGAGUGGCUGUUGCUAGUUGGCCAAUAGGAACGAGGCAGCAGAGUGGCUGUGGUUAGAUGGCCAAUAGGAAAGAGGCAGCAGAGUGGACAGGGUAGAUGGUCCAGUGAACAGAGCCGGCAUGGCAACUCCCGGGACCCAUGAGAUAGCCUGUCCUGGGUGAUGAAGCAGUGGGUCAGGACCAGGGGAAGACCGAGUGACAUGCUGGAUUGGCCGUAGGUCAAGCAACUCACUGAAUGCAAAGGACAGCAACAACACUCUCUCAGAGCCUUCCAGGCAAAGAGGAGAAGAACAUUCUGUUGACCCGCAAGACUGAAGGUCAAGAAACAAACUUUCCUUGGGUCCCCUUGGCGCAGGGUUUCUUCACUUGCUCUGCAGUUGUAGACAAUGUAAUACCACUUCCCACUGUUCCAACUGAACACCAGGCAGCUUCCAACAUGGUGAUGAUUCCACCUUUUUUGAAAUGCAUUCCGAGGCUAUCCUAAAUCAAGCAGAUUUAACACUGAACCAAAAGGAAGGCUUUGGAAAACAAGCUGAUUGUGAUCCAGCCUUGCCAGCCCUGUACACUAGAAUUUUAGCUUCAUUCGGUCACAGGGUUUCCUCUCCUGAGAAGGAGGACAAAGAGGGUAAAGAAAAGGUGGUGCUCUGACACCGGCCCAACUGGCUGGAUUGAGUCCUGCAGUUCAGCUCUGGCAUCGACUACGUGGAGACUGGUGUCAGUGUAGACCCCAUGAAUUAAGAGCUCGGUCAUCCACAAGACAGUCCCAAUUUCAGAUGCCAGCCAGAAGUUGAGGGGGUUCUGACCAACUGGCUACAAAUUCAGAGGUUCCCCUAAUCCCCUCAGAUUGAUAAUUCUUUGGAACAAUUCACAGAAUUCAGAAAAGCACCACCCUUAUAAUUAAACUUGUAUUGUGAAGGCUACAACUCAGGGACAGCCACAUGAGGAGAUGCAUAGAGUGAGGUCUGGGAGGGCUUUGAAUCCAGAACUUCCAUGCCCUCUCCUAGUGGAGUUAGGGUCUUUCCCCCUGUGGGCAGAUCACUAUCUUCAUCAACCAGGAAGCUCCGCUGACUCUCAGAGUCCAGAGGUUUUAUUGGGGCUUAAUUAUGUAGGCAUAAUUAAUUAAAUCAUUGGACACACGAUUAAACUCAAUCUCCAGUGCCCUUCCUCUCUCCAGAAGUCAGGCUUGGCCCACUGUCCCAGCCCUCCAAUCAUUUGGUUGGUCUUUCCUGUGACCAGCCCCAUCCUGAAGCCAUCUAGAAGCUACUGUGAGUUAUCUUAUUGGAAAAAACUCAGGUGCAGUCUAAAGGUCUCAUAAUAAAAAAGACACUCCUAUCA
rnacentral:lncRNA from 13 species